UUGCUUCAGUUACCAUCAUUCAUUGGGGACUCUGGAGAGACUGCCCGGUGGACAAACCGGAGGAAGUGGGGAUGACGUCAAAUCAUCAUGCCCCUUAUGACCUGGGCUACACACGUACUACAAUGGCGUAUACAACGGGAAGCGAAAUGGUGACAUGGAGCAAAUCUCACAAAGUACGUCUCAGUUCGGAUUGAAGUCUGCAACUCGACUUCAUGAAGUCGGAAUCGCUAGUAAUCGCGGAUCAGCAUGCCGCGGUGAAUACGUUCUCGGGCCUU
rnacentral:rRNA from 1 species